GAUGAACGCUGGCGGCGUGCCUAAUACAUGCAAGUCGAGCGAACAGACGAGGAGCUUGCUCCUCUGACGUUAGCGGCGGACGGGUGAGUAACACGUGGAUAACCUACCUAUAAGACUGGGAUAACUUCGGGAAACCGGAGCUAAUACCGGAUAAUAUAUUGAACCGCAUGCUUCAAUAGUGAAAGACGGUUUUGCUGUCACUUAUAGAUGGAUCCGCGCCGCAUUAGCUAGUUGGUAAGGUAACGGCUUACCAAGGCAACGAUGCGUAGCCGACCUGAGAGGGUGAUCGGCCACACUGGAACUGAGACACGGUCCAGACUCCUACGGGAGGCAGCAGUAGGGAAUCUUCCGCAAUGGGCGAAAGCCUAACGGAGCAACGCCGCGUGAGUGAUGAAGGUCUUCGGAUCGUAAAACUCUGUUAUUAGGGAAGAACAAAUGUGUAAGUAACUAUGCACGUCUUGACGGUACCUAAUCAGAAAGCCACGGCUAACUACGUG
rnacentral:rRNA from 1 species